GACGUAGGUGGCGAACGUUAUCCGGAAUUAUUGGGCGUAAAGGGUGCGUAGAUGGUCUAGAAAGUUAGUAGUGGGAAAUCGAGGCCCAACCUCGUGGAAACUAUUGAUACUGUUAGACUAGAGAACAGGAGGGGUUAACGGAAUGGUAUGUGGAGGGGUAAAAUCCAACGAUAUAUACUGGAACACCAAUAAAGGCGAAGGCAGUUAACUAUUCUGCUUCUGACAUUGAGGCACGAAAGCGUGGGGAGCAAAACGG
rnacentral:rRNA from 1 species